UGCAAAUUGGAUUACCCUGAGCUAACCAGCUAGCCUGACCACCUAUAUAACGUAAUGAUAUACAUAACAAGACAAGGCCUAACAACAUAAAUUAAACCAUUUUUUUACCUGAGUAUGGGAGACAGAAAAGGUUCAGCCCAGAGCGAUAGAGAAAGUACCGUAAGGAAAGCUGAAAGAGAAGUGAAACAACCCAUAUAAGCACUAAGAAACAAAGACUAAACCUUGUACCUUUUGCAUCAUGAUUUAGCAAGUACCCUCAAGCAAAGAGACCUUUAGUUUGAUACCCCGAAACCAGGUGAGCUACCCCGAGACAGCCUAUAAUAAUUUAGGGCUAACCCGUCUCUGUGGCAAAAGAGUGGGAAGAGCUCCGGGUAGAAGUGACAGACCUACCGAACCUGGUGAUAGCUGGUUGCCUAAGAAAUGGAUAGAAGUUCAGCCUCACACACCCCAGAUCAAAGUACACAUCAACAAGAUACUAAGGAGAAGUGCGAGAGUUAGUUGAAGGGGGUACAGCCCCUUUAACAAAGGACACAACCUUCACAGGAGGAUAAAGAUCAUAAUAUAUAAAACAUACUGUUCUAGUGGGCCUGAAAGCAGCCAUCUAAACAGAAAGCGUUAAAGCUCAGACAGAAGGAAGUUUAUUAUUCCGAUAAAAAAUCUUACUCCCCUAGUUGUAUUAGGCCAGCCCAUGCUCGCAUGGAGAGAUUAUGCUAAAAUGAGUAACAAGAAGACCUGCUCUUCUCCCGCCACAAGUGUAAACCAGAUCGGACUAGCCGCUGGAACUUAACGAACCCAACCCCAGAGGUAGUGUGAAUAAUAAUAGACCUCAGGAUGCCCAGUGACUACGGGUUUAACGGCCGCGGUAUUUUGACCGUGCAAAGGUAGCGCAAUCACUUGUCUCUUAAAUAGAGACCUGUAUGAAUGGCUAGACGAGGGCUUAACUGUCUCCCCCCUUCAGUCAGUGAAAUUGAUCUAUCCGUGCAGAAGCGGGUAUAAUACUACAAGACGAGAAGACCCUUUGGAGCUUAAGGUAUAAAGUUCAACUACGUUAAACGACCUUAUAAAGGGCAAGAACUUAGUGGGUAUGAAGUUUUACCUUCGGUUGGGGCGACCACGGAGUAAACAUUAACCUCCGAGUGGACUGGGCUAAACCCCUAGAGCUAAGAGGGACACCUCUAAGCCACAGAACAUCUGACCAAUAAUGAUCCGACUACAAUGGUCGAUCAACGAACCAAGUUACCCUAGGGAUAACAGCGCAAUCCUCUCCUAGAGCCCGUAUCAACGAGGGGGUUUACGACCUCGAUGUUGGAUCAGGACAUCCUAAUGGUGCAGCCGCUAUUAAGGGUUCGUUUGUUCAACGAUUAAAGUCCUACGUGAUCUGAGUUCAGACCGGAGUAAUCCAGGUCAGUUUCUAUCUGUAACGCUACUUUUCCUAGUACGAAAGGAUCGGAAAAGAGGGGCCUAUACUGAAGGCAUGCCCCUCCCCUAAUUAAUGAAAACAACUAAAUUAAGUAAGGGGCGGGCCAAGUCCUGCCGCCCAAGAUAAGGGCA
rnacentral:rRNA from 1 species